ACACAUGCAGUCGAGCGGGGAAGGUAGCUUGCUACCUGACCUAGCGGCGGACGGGUGAGUAAUGCUUAGGAAUCUGCCUAUUAGUGGGGGACAACAUCUCGAAAGGGAUGCUAAUACCGCAUACGUCCUACGGGAGAAAGCAGGGGACCUUCGGGCCUUGCGCUAAUAGAUGAGCCUAAGUCGGAUUAGCUAGUUGGUGGGGUAAAGGCCUACCAAGGCGACGAUCUGUAGCGGGUCUGAGAGGAUGAUCCGCCACACUGGGACUGAGACACGGCCCAGACUCCUACGGGAGGCAGCAGUGGGGAAUAUUGGACAAUGGGGGGAACCCUGAUCCAGCCAUGCCGCGUGUGUGAAGAAGGCCUUUUGGUUGUAAAGCACUUUAAGCGAGGAGGAGGCUACCGAGAUUAAUACUCUUGGACAGUGGACGUUACUCGCAGAAUAAGCACCGGCUAACUCUGUGCCAGCAGCCGCGGUAAUACAGAGGGUGCAAGCGUUAAUCGGAUUUACUGGGCGUAAAGCGCGCGUAGGUGGCCAAUUAAGUCAAAUGUGAAAUCCCCGAGCUUAACUUGGGAAUUGCAUUCGAUACUGGUUGGCUAGAGUAUGGGAGAGGAUGGUAGAAUUCCAGGUGUAGCGGUGAAAUGCGUAGAGAUCUGGAGGAAUACCGAUGGCGAAUGCAGCCAUCUGGCCUAAUACUGACACUGAGGUGCGAAAGCAUGGGGAGCAAACAGGA
rnacentral:rRNA from 1 species